GGGAAUCGAACUAGCAACCUUCUGAUUACUAAACGACUUCUCUACCACUGUACCACUGUAGCCCAUCAAAACCUGAACUGAGGUCUAGGCUUGCAGCAUCAAACCGAAUCAUAGCAUGAUAUCAUAUUUAGUUUAGUUUAGUUCUGUUGUGACCUGUUCUGAAAGACAGAGAAAAGUGUGAUGCUUAAAUACUGGUAACAUUGCAAGAGGCAUCAGUUAGACAACCAAAAACAAAGAGGAGCUUUAAGUCAUUCAGAAGAAAUUCAAAGUUGUGGACAGAAGAGUAAAACAUCAUUACUUUGAAAUGUGAGAACAAAGUGUGUGGUACAAAGUCUGACUAUUCUGUGUUAUAGAAGUGUUAGAAUGUGUGUCAAAGCUGUUUAUCGUUAUGCAUGUACCUCCUUGUGCAAGGGGCUUAAAUGGCAUAAUACACUUCUUGUUGGCAUAACCCAAUCUAAUAUUUACAGAAUAUAAAAAAUUAUAAUGUGUGCAAAGAAUUACAAACUGGUUUUAAAAGUUCAAAAUAUUAUUUUGCAGUUGAUAGCAUUAAACUGAAAUAUAUAAACAAGACAUACCCUAUCGAGAUUGAAUGGGAAAACAAACCCAGCGAAUGCCAAAAUAAGAAUUUGACUUUCAACUGUAGAGGUAAGAAAGGUAUAAUUUUGGUUCAAACAUUAAGACAUUUAUCUAUCAUGUUAUAAAUGUGGUUUAUGGUAAAUGUGAAUUGUAAUAAAAACAUUUGUCUUUGAAGGACCAGAUGGUAUAUCUUAUACAGACGGAAAGUUAAAACCAUUUGAAGUUUAUAACUGCAUCGCAACCUACAGCAACUCCAAUUUUACUCUUCAAGCCCAAGAAACUGUUUCUACUGAAUGUGAUGUAAAGGUUGAAAUACCACACAUCAUAGCCACAAGCACAUCCCUCACUCUCCAAAGAAAUAGUACAUUUGGAGGUUGCACUGGUGUAAAUUUCACCUUUGAGACCACAUGUGGUGAAUUUAAGGAUGACAGUAAGUGAUUAAAUAUCGUUAUUCCUUAACUUUCAAAUACAAAGAUUUACUGAAAGGGCCCCUUGGUUGAUACAAUUAACUAUCCUCAGCACUAUUCUAGAUCAGUGUAGUUUGUUUGAAAUUAAUUUGAAUCUGAAAAUGUGAAAUGAUAGAAUAAUAAUUGUAUUCCAUUCAGUAUCUGCAGUAAAUUAACAAUGAUGAUGAUUUCUGUCUGUUUUGUUUUUCAGAGAGCAACAACCAGAAUGACACCAUUAAGUUCAGUGGUUUAAAACCUUACACCCCCUAUACGUGCAAAGUUACCAUGAAAUAUAAUGAUGAAAUUCUAAAAUCAGUUACUGAAAAAAACAGGACUUCCGCUGACCGUAAGUUAUUCUUGAAUAUUUGUUUAAACUUGCAUUCCACCAUUGCUAUAACAGUGUACUGGAAAAGUAUGAAAAACUAAUCUCCUGGAUUUCUUUGGUGUGGUGUCUUAGUUCUAAGUAAAUGUGAAGCAGGUAAUAAAAUAUCAUUGGGAUUUUCA
rnacentral:lncRNA from 1 species